rnacentral:lncRNA from 1 species
UUAUCUAUUGAAAUAUAGUUUGGAUAUAUUUUAAAAUGUGGUUUCAUGGUGAUUUAUAAUUUUUUCCAGAAUCUCCAACCACCUCAGAGAUCAGUCUCUCCAGUACCCAGUCAUCUGUCCAUGAAGAGUGACUUCUCUAUGGCUCAUCCUAUACACUUUAGUGAUGGAUCAGGGACCUUUGACCCCAGAAUCUCCAAGCAAACUCAGUCUCUCCAGAGAUCAGUCUCUCCAGUACCCAGUCAUCUGUCCAUGAAGAGCGACUUCUCUAUGGAUCAUCCUAUACAUUUUAGUAGUGGAUCACGGACCUUUGACCCCAGAAUCUCCAAGCAAACUCAGUCUCUCCAGAGAUCAGUCUCUCCAGUACCCAGUCAUCUGUCCAUGAAGAGCGACUUCUCUAUGGAUCAUCCUAUGCAUUUUAGUAGUGGAUCAGGGACCUUUGACCCCAGGUAAGUUACUGGUCAGAAUUGAUGAUAUUUCUAUUGAAGAGGAGAACCUUCAAGAUCUGAAACCUGAUGUAUUUUGUGUAUCUGAGUAUAUACUGUAAAGCAUCUGCUUAUCAUUUGUUGUUCAUGUCAUAUAUUUUUUAUACAGUGAGUGUACAAAACAUUAUGAACACCUGCUUUUUCCACGACGUAGAUUGACAAGGUGAGUCCAGGUGAAAGCAGUGAUCCCUUAUUGAUGCCACUUAAAUCCACUUCAAUUAGUGUAGAUGAAGGGGAGGAGACGGGUUUAAUAGGGAUGCACCGAUAUGACAUUUUUGGCCGAUACCCACAUCCAGUAUUUUCCUUUUAAAACAACCCGAAUCCGAUAUCUGGUAUUUUCCUUGCCAAACCACCCGAUAUCCAAUAUUUUUCUUGCCAAUCAACCCGAUACCGAU